UUCCUAAUUUGGUUUACAAGUAUGAUUGGGUUUUCAUACUUAUGUGUGAGAUAGGCCUCCCUCAAACCUUAUUACAACAUUGGUACAUUACCCAUUUGACA
ensembl:snoRNA